AUAAAUGUUAAAGUCGAGAGCUUGGAAGGAUCUGACCCAACUGAAACCGACAGCACUCCGUCCAAAGAUCCUGUAGAUAAGAAGGAAUGAACAGCAGGAGGAGGGACAAUCAACCAGCCAACUG